rnacentral:rRNA from 1 species
UACGUAGGGUGCGAGCGUUAAUCGGAAUUACUGGGCGUAAAGCGUGCGCAGGCGGUUUUGUAAGCCCGAUGUGAAAUCCCCGGGCUUAACCUGGGAAUGGCAUUUGGGACUGCAAGGCUGGAGUGCGGCAGAGGAGACUGGAAUUCCUGGUGUAGCAGUGAAAUGCGUAGAUAUCAGGAGGAACACCGAUGGCGAAGGCAGGUCGCUGGGCUGACACUGACGCUCAUGCACGAAAGCGUGGGGAGCAAACAGG